rnacentral:rRNA from 1 species
UACGUAGGGGGGCUAGCGUUGUCCGGAAUCAUUGGGCGUAAAGCGCGCGUAGGCGGCCCGGUAAGUCCGUUGUGAAAGUCAAAGGCUCAACCUUUGAAAGCCGAUGGAUACUGCCGGGCUGGAGUCCGGAAGAGGCGAGUGGAAUUCCUGGUGUAGGCGGUGGAAUGCGCAGAUAUCAGGAGGAACACCAAUAGCGAAGGCAGCUCGCUGGGACGGUACUGACGCUGAGGCGCGAAAGCGUGGGGAGCGAACAGG